rfam:Caenorhabditis brenneri strain PB2801 C_brenneri-6.0.1_Cont211.2, whole genome shotgun sequence.
GCCGGGGUAGCCAAGUGGCAAAGGCGCAGGUUCGGGGGAUCUGUGGAUGUUUCAAUCCUUUAGGGGUUCGAUUCCCCUCCCCGGCA